GACGAACGCUGGCGGCGUGCAUAACACAUGCAAGUCGAACGGAAAGGCCCUGCUUUUGUGGGGUGCUCGAGUGGCGAACGGGUGAGUAACACGUGAGUAACCUGCCCUUGACUUUGGGAUAACUUCAGGAAACUGGGGCUAAUACCGGAUAGGAGCUCCUGCUGCAGGGUGGGGGUUGGAAAGUUUCGGCGGUUGGGGAUGGACGCGCGGCUUAUCAGCUUGUUGGUGGGGGAGUGGCUUACCAAGGGUUUGACGGGUAGCCGGCCUGGGAGGGUGACCGGCCACAUUGGGACUGCGAGACGGCCCAGACUCCUACGGGAGGCAGCAGUGGGGAAUAUUGCACAAUGGGCGGAAGCCUGAUGCAGCAACGCCGCGUGCGGGAUGACGGCCUUCGGGUUGUAAACCGCUUUCGCCUGUGACGAAGCGUGAGUGACGGUAAUGGGUAAAGAAGCACCGGCUAACUACGUG
rnacentral:rRNA from 1 species